GACGAACGCUGGCGGCGUGCUUAACACAUGCAAGUCGAACGGUGAUCUCGGUGCUUGCACCGGGUGAUCAGUGGCGAACGGGUGAGUAACACGUGACUAACCUGCCCCCGACUCUGGGAUAACCCCGGGAAAUCGGAGCUAAUACCGGAUACGAGACGCACAGGCAUCUGUAGCGUCUGGAAAGAAUUUCGGUCGGGGAUGGAGUCGCGGCCUAUCAGCUAGUUGGUGGGGUAACGGCCCACCAAGGCGACGACGGGUAGCCGGCCUGAGAGGGCGACCGGCCACACUGGGACUGAGACACGGCCCAGACUCCUACGGGAGGCAGCAGUGGGGAAUAUUGCACAAUGGGCGAAAGCCUGAUGCAGCGACGCCGCGUGGGGGAUGAAGGCCUUCGGGUUGUAAACCCCUUUCAGCAGGGAAGAAGCGAAAGUGACGGUACCUGCAGAAGAAGCGCCGGCUAACUACGUGCCAGCAGCCGCAGUAACAC
rnacentral:rRNA from 1 species